AUUGAACGCUGGCGGCAGGCCUAACACAUGAAAGUCGAACGAGUGGCGGACGGGUGAGUAAUGUCUGGGAAACUGCCCGAUGGAGGGGGAUAACUACUGGAAACGGUAGCUAAUACCGCAUCCAAACGGAUGUGCCCAGGUGGGAGUCGAUAGUCGGUGUGGUAACGGCUCACAUAGGCGCCGAUCCCUAGCUGGUCUGAGAGGAUGACCAGCCACACGUGACCUUAGACACGGCCCAGACUCCUACGGGAGGCAGCAGUGGGGAAUAUUGCACAAUGGGCACAAGCCUGAUGCAGCCAUUUCGCGUGUAUGAAGAAGGCCUUCGGGUUGUAAAGUACGUUCAGCGAGGAGGCGUUACUCGCAGAAGAAGCACCGGCUAACUCCGUGCCAGCCGCCGCGGUAAUUC
rnacentral:rRNA from 1 species